rnacentral:rRNA from 1 species
AGUGAACGCUGGCGGUAGGCCUAACACAUGCGAGUCGAACGGCAGCACAGUAAGAGCUUGCUCUUACGGGUGGCGAGUGGCGGACGGGUGAGGAAUACAUCGGAAUCUACUUUUUCGUGGGGGAUAACGUAGGGAAACUUACGCUAAUACCGCAUACGACCUACGGGUGAAAGCAGGGGAUCUUCGGACCUUGCGCGAUUGAAUGAGCCGAUGUCGGAUUAGCUAGUUGGCGGGGUAAAGGCCCACCAAGGCGACGAUCCGUAGCUGGUCCGAGAGGAUGAUCCGCCACCCUGGAACUGAGACACGGUCCAGACUCCUACGGGAGGCAGCAGCUGGGAAUAUUGGACAAUGGGCGCAAGCCUGAUCCAGCCAUACCGCGUGGGUCAAGAAGGCCUUCGGGUUGUAAAGCCCUUUUGUUGGGAAAGAAAAGCAGCAGGUUAAUACCCCGCUGUUCUGACGGUACCCAAAGAAUAAGCACCGGCUAACUUCGUG